rnacentral:rRNA from 1 species
GUGCCAGCGCAGCGGUAAUACGAAGGGGCUAGCGUUGUUCGGAAUUACUGGGCGUAAAGCGCACGUAGGCGGACAUUUAAGUCAGGGGUGAAAUCCCAGAGCUCAACUCUGGAACUGCCUUUGAUACUGGGUGUCUUGAGUAUGGAAGAGGUAAGUGGAAUUGCGAGUGUAGAGGUGAAAUUCGUAGAUAUUCGCAGGAACACCAGUGGCGAAGGCGGCUUACUGGUCCAUUACUGACGCUGAGGUGCGAAAGCGUGGGAGCAAACAGGAUUAGAUACCCUGGUAGUCCACGCCGUAAACGAUGAUAGCUAGCCGUCGGGUGCAUGCAAUUCGGUGGCGCAGUUAACGCAUUAAGCUAUCCGCCUGGGAGUACGGUCGCAAGAUU